rnacentral:rRNA from 1 species
CGAAAGCCUGACGGAGCAAUACCGCGUGAGGGAGGAAGGUUCUUGGAUUGUAAACCUCUUUUCUAGGGGAAUAAAAAAAUGAAGGUACCCUAGGAAUAAGCAUCGGCUAACUCCGUGCCAGCAGCCGCGGUAAUACGGAGGAUGCAAGCGUAAUCCGGAAUUAUUGGGCGUAAAGAGUCCGUAGGUGGAAGUUCAAGUCUGCUGUUAAAGAAUGGAGCUUAACUCCAUAGAGGCGGUGGAAACUGAGCAACUAGAGUGCGGUAGGGGUAACGGGAAUUCCCAGUGUAGCGGUGAAAUGCGUAGAUAUGGGAAAGAACAUCGGUGGCGAAAGCGCGUUACUGGGCCGAAACUGACACUGAGGGACGAAAGCUAGGGGAGC